rnacentral:rRNA from 1 species
UACGUAGGGUGCGAGCGUUGCCCGGAUUUAUUGGGCGUAAAGAGCGCGUAGGCGGUCCGGUAAGUCCGCUCUGAAAGUCCGGGGCUCAACCCCGGGAGGCGGGCGGAUACUGUCGGGCUAGAGUCCGGAAGAGGCGAGUGGAAUUCCUGGUGUAGCGGUGAAAUGCGCAGAUAUCAGGAGGAACACCGAUGGCGAAGGCAGCUCGCUGGGACGGUACUGACGCUGAGGCGCGAAAGCGUGGGGAGCAAACAGG